UUGUCUGCCUCACAAUUCAAAAUGACAUCUCUCUUCGACAGAGAUGGUGACUGCAAAACCCUACGAUCUCCAACACCACAAGAACAAGAAAUGAAUUCUUGGGCCCGUGUCUUUGUGACACAUUGGAUCCGAAAGCGCCGCGCAUAACAUUACCUUGGAUUCUACAGUUUUUUCACAGCAGUUUCUCAAAGCUAGCGUCGUUGGAAUCGGAAAGUUUCAGACAAUUUUAUUAUCUGAGAGUUCCCAAGAGAAAUUUAUGAUCCCGAUCAAUGAUUUGGAGCAGUAGAAACCGCCAUGGAUGACGUUAAUGCAGGGGACAUGAAUAUUAUUGGUCAAGGUCCUUCGAGUAUGGUCGUGCCAUAAUUUCUCCCAAUUUAGAAUUUCUGUUGGCUGAUAAGAUACGACAAGUUCAAUCCAAUAAUAAGUCAAGUUAUAGUAGAUCGGGCUCAAGGAAAAUUAGCGGAGUUAUGGAACAGGCUAAUCGGUUUACUUAAGAUUUCAUGGUCGACAAGUCACAGAAGAUGAAUCUUUGGUAUACUAGCGACUUGAGGAAUGAGCAACUUACAAGUCAAGGUACAAAUGAUGAUCACGAAUUUUUGAAUUCUAAUUCUUCUUCUCAGAUGUUGAUAUACUCAUCCCACCAGUCUGUAAUAAGGUCACUAUUUCUAGUUGUUGCUAUCCAAUGCAGACAAGAAACUAUACUAUAAUAUUGCAACAAAGGUUAAAAAAUGGUGGCAAAUGGACAAGUACCGUGUGCCAUGUCUGUUUCACCAAAAAACCAUGAUCCUAUUUUUUAACCUAAUGACAAUCUAUCUCUUGAAGGAUGUCGUAAUUCUGAGAUUUCUAGUCGGGUAAUAUACCUGGGAAGUGUCGAAAUCAACAGUUUUAAGAUGAAUGGCAAGGCAGAGACACUGUCAAAGUUUUGCAGCCACUUCUCUCUUCUUCAUCUGGUUGUGUGAGGAAUAAUCUAGAGAAUUUAUAUCAUUGACAAGAUGGGGAUUUUGACAACCCAAGAGGAAACAUAUUGAAGGUUAAGAAGAAACACACUAAAGAAUGUUUGACAUCCAUUGAGUCAAGUACUGCAAUUGAUAUAGGUAGCUCAAAUGCUAAGGGGACUGAGCUGAGAGCAUGUGUCUGAUGAAUUAAAAGCUUACUGUAAAAGAUCACAAAACCUUUUGUGAUGAACCGCCCAAGUGUUUCAAAAGUGAAAGCACAGAUCCGUUUAGUGUUGAAUUGAAAGAUCAAAACAGAGGCACUGCACUACACACGGAGACCUGUCCGGAUCUGAAUCUCAGUGUUGCUCUAAAGUCAACUGGCCUCACAAGAUCUGUCAGGAAUUACAGCGACCUGACAGUUGCUCUAAGUGCUUCAUUAGCUAAUGGGAAUAUUUCCUUAAAAUGGUCUAUACUUGCCCCUAUCUCAUUAAGACACAAGACCUUUAAGCACAAUGCCUGAAGCCAAGAUUCCAAGGAAAGGACACAAAUACAAAUUAUAGAGUUUAGAAAGGGCUGAAAAUGAUAAAAGAUUUUGUGAAUAAAAUGUUCCUUCUAUCUCAAUUAAUAGCAAACUUCAGUUGCGAGCAAUUGGAGCAGCAGAAUUUCCCAGGGCGAAUAACCUCUUGUAUGUCUAAGGAGCCAAUGAUAAUGCAACAGGGUAGACAAGCAAUUAAUCAUAAAUCAUAUGAUGGCAAGUACAUUUCAGAAACAGAUUUCUCUAUACUACAAGGUGAUAGCGAGGGGAAUUAUGGUAAGCAAAAAGCAGGAUUCAGAUGUUAGAGCUACAUGACGGAAAUCCUUCAAUAAACAUUUCUGAGAAUGGCGGCUUAUCUCAUGAAAGUAACUUAGAAGAAAGUAAUAUCAUGGAGAUAUCCUUGGAGUGCAUGUAAAAUAGUCCAAAAUUUACAAUCAAGAUUACAGGCAGUGGAGAAUAUGAAAGUUAGAGCAUAUUAUUUUGGACUGUAAAGAAAGAUGCGGUUGAUAAUGAAAGAAAGGAAUUCAUUCAGUCACUUAAAGUAGACAUCGAGAAGCAGGUAAGGUGGCAUAGCAUGCAAUUUUGUUUCUAGGAAGGGUAUAUCUUCUCAAUACUUCAAAUUUUUGUGUCAUGCAUUCAUUAUAUGAUAUUAUUUUUAUAGCAUUUAAAAAAAAUAUUUUUUCAAACUUGAAAGAUUAU